CGAAAACUGGAGACAUUACUAGUGCCUCCCCCGCGAUCAAACCGACAUAAAAAAUAUGAAACGCAGCCUAACGUGAUCAUUGACAACUGCCUUGCAGACGAAGUAGGCUGUGCAACCUUUCUCCUUACAGGGGGUGUGGACAUAUUGGGAUAGGCCAGGCCACUGACAGCACCACUAGUUUAUACAUCACCGACAAGAGCAGAUCCCAAGAACGACGGAACUCUGCUGGCAAAAGAGAAAUAUGCUGAUGUCAAUGAGAUGAAAUUGUUUACAACACAUUAGUGACUACUUGUUCAUAUUUUUCCUCAUUAGGACUAAAUAUUUAGUUUUCAUAGCAGAACUAGUUUGAGCUCAAAGGUCAUCUGCCCUUGAAAACCAAAUUCUCUUUUUGAAAACGGCCUAUAGGCAUCGAUAUGAGUCGGUUUAUUAUAGUUUCCAAAUUGACUACACAAUGUAAAUAGGAUAAUUUUUGUUAUGAAGUCUCGUCCAAAAAAGGAGUUUGGUAUGUGACUGCGACAUGAUUUACUGUACUUGAGGGUUUCGUUUGGAUUACAAUUAAGUGAACAUUUUUUGCCUAAUAACACAUUGUGGAGUUGUGUCGAAAAUCUCCACUCUGCCAGAAUCCCCCCUCCCCCUUCGCGUAAACGCGCACGCACUCCAUUCUUCAUUGCUGCGACUUGCUUGCUAGUUGAGAUUUCUGCUCUUCACUCCAUUGUCAGUUUAGCCUACAUUUCACUCAUCUUAGUAGCCGAAAGCAUUUUAUGUGUGUGUCCGUCUGAAGAGACUGGCAGGACCUCACAAACUCAGACUGACAUUGUGCAGGAGGAAAAACAACUCUGCUGAAACGGACACACGUGACGGACUGAGUUGCUUUUUCCCAAAAGAUCCGGUUGUCAACAAAUCUGAAGGACAAUGACCAGAACCUAGAAAGCAGAACUUCAUCAGAGAGAGUUGUUUUCUCUUUCAGUGACGUCUCCAAGUUGCCUAUCUUACUAUCAAAAACAUUUUCUUAUUUGCAACAUCAAACUAUUCACUCCUUACAGUUUGGGUUUAGGUUUGAGGUGUCAUUUAUAAGUAAAGGGAGCAACCAUAUUUAUGUUUCUCUCUCAAUAUUAUGAAAAUAUUACUUCUCAUAUCCUACCACAGGGCGGCGCUCUUGCUCCAUUCUGAAGAAGAAAAAAAUACUGAUGUACAGCUACACAAAACUGUUCACUGCAGUCCAGAUAUCCACUUUCUGAUGCCUUACCCUGAUAUACCAAAUAAAUAAUUCCAAGCCCUUCACAUUUUAUUUGUAAUGUAUUUAAUUAAUUUAUUCAAUACGUUAUUCCAGAUGUAGAAUGUAAUGGGUAACUUGAUAUCCAAUUCAUGAAUUCAGAGUGCUGAACCUUUUAAGUGAGGAUUGUACAAUUCAAGAGUGUGUCUUCAAUUUACUUCAGGACUGAACUGAAAUGAGGUUGACCCCAACCCUGGCUAUAACGUUUUUAGACUGAAGGUACUCUCUGUACAGUCUAUUGUGGUGGAGGGGUGCACCUAACUGAAUUACA
rnacentral:lncRNA from 1 species